rnacentral:miRNA from 1 species
CAAUUUCGGUCAAAGUUCGGAUAU